AGCGAACACUGGCGGCAGGCCUAACGCAUGCAAGUCGAACGGACCCUUCGGGGUUAGUGGCGGACGGGUGAGUAACACGUGGGAACGUGCCUUUAGGUUCGGAAUAGCUCCUGGAAACGGGUGGUAAUGCCGAAUGUGCCCUUCGGGGGAAAGAUUUAUCGCCUUUAGAGCGGCCCGCGUCUGAAUAGCUAGUUGGUGAGGUAACGGCUCACCAAGGCGACGAUCAGGAGCUGUGCUGCGAGGAUGACCAGCCACACUGGGACUGGUAAACGGCCCAGACUCCGACGGGAGGAAGGAGUGGGGAAUCUUGUGCAAUGGGCGAAAGACUGACGCAGCCAUGCCGCGUGAAUGAUGAAGGUCUUAGGAUUGUAAAAUUCUUUCACCGGGGACGAUAAUGACGGUACCCGGAGAAGAAGCCCCGGCUAGCUUCGUGCCAGCCGCCGCGGUAA
rnacentral:rRNA from 1 species